ensembl:lncRNA
GAGGUUUGAACGCUUUUCGUCCUGGAAAAGUCUGAUACGUGGAAUGACAAAGCUCAUCCUUGUGGCAAGGAAGAAGUCCAAGGUUGCCAGGCAAAACUCAGAAAAUCCACAAACACAAGCCAAACUGCAAAUCCUCCGGAGUGUACAGCAGUCUGAAUUCAAGGGUGAAGUCAAAGCACUGCAAGCAGGAGAGCAAGUCCCCAAAACAAGUUCCCUGUGGAAGCUGAGCCCUUUCAUUGAUCCAGAUGGAGUGCUGAGAGUAGGAGGCAGAGUAUCUUUGGCUGAUCUUCCAUAUGACGAGAAACACCCAGUCAUACUUCCCAAGAAACACCAUGUGUCGACUUUGCUUGUGAGACAAUACCACCAAGAUGUUGCACACCAAGGUCGCCAUUUCACAGAAGGGGCACUUCGCUCUGCUGGUGUGUGGAUAAUUGGUGCAAGAAAGUUAGUCUCCAGUUUGAUUUAUGAAUGUGUCAUGUGCCGAAAACUCAGAAGAAGGCCCGAAGAGCAAAAGAUGGCUGAACUACCUGUGGAUAGGCUAAGCAUGGAGCCUCCAUUCACCCGGGUUGGUCUUGAUGUCUUUGGCCCAUGGAGUGUUGUCUCACGACGGACUAGAGGAGGAAUAACAGACAACAAACGUUGGGCAGUCCUGUUUACUUGCCUGGGAACACGGGCUGUUCACAUAGAGGUGAUAGAGUCUAUGUCCACAUCAAGUUUCAUCAAUGCCUUAAGACGUUUUUUUGCCAUACGGGGCCCUUCCAAGAUUCUUAGAUCAGAUAGGGGAACCAAUUUUGUCGGAGCAUGCAGGGAGUUGAGGAUCUGCUCAGAUGAUCCUGAACUUCAUGGUUACCUCAGCUCUGAAGGAUGCUCGUGGACCUUUAAUGCACCACACUCAUCUCACAUGGGAGGCUCUUGGGAGAGAAUGAUUGGUGUAGCUCGGCGGAUCUUAGAUGCAAUGCUGCUCCAGUCAGGUCCCACUCGUCUCUCUCAUGAAGUGCUCACGACUUUGAUGGCAGAAGUCAUGGCAAUUAUUAAUGCUCGACCACUAAUUCCUGUGUCCACAGAUCCAGAGUGGCCCUCUGUGUUAACACCAGCUAUGCUCCUCACACAAAAAGCAAAUUCUGCUCCUGCACCUGAAGGGAUAUUUGAUCUAAAAGACCUAUACAAGAAACAGUGGCGGCAUGUCCAAUGCCUUGCAGACAUGUUUUGGAAGCGAUGGAGACAGGAGUAUCUGGUGACACUUCAAUCCAGAAAGAAAUGGAUCGACUACAAACGGGAUGUUCAAGUCGGAGAUGUGGUCUUAUUGAAGGACGACCAAACCAAGCGAAAUGAAUGGCCAAUUGGUCUCAUUGUCACAAGUAUCCCAAGUCAUGACAAGAAGAUCAGAAAGGUGGAAGUUAGAGUUGUGAAGCAAGGGACUCCACGAGUUUACUUACGUCCAGUAUCACAAGUCCUUGUCCUUCUCCCCAAAGAACCAUCAGAAAAGACUGAUAAGUAAAUAAAAAAUGAUUGUGGUAUAAACAUAUUUAUACCAGGCGGGGAGUGUGCUGGUAUAGCUUUAAAUAAGAAACUUGAGGCAGUUUACAUGG